rnacentral:lncRNA from 1 species
UACAGGCAUCCGCCACCACACCCGGCUAAUUUUUCUAUUUUUGGUUAGAGAUGGUGUUUUGCCAUGUUGGCCAGGCUGGUGUCUGCCUCCUGGGCUCAAUCAAUCCUUCCACUUCAGCCUCCCAAGCAGCUGAGAUAACAGCUGUGCGCCACCAUGCCCAGCAAAUUUUUUUAUUGUUGUUGUUUUCUUUGUUUUUUAUUUAUUUUUUGAUAGAGAUGGAGUUUUGCCAUGUUGCCUAGGCUGAUCUUAAACUCUUGGGCUUAAGCAAUCUGCCUGCCUUGGCUUCCCAAAGUGCUGGAAUUACAGGCAUGAACCACCACUCCUGGCCAGCUCUUGACCUUACAGGUUUUCAAAGUCUAGUUUUUUUUUUUUACUACAGAGAAACUAACUUAGAAACUGCUCGUGAAUUUCAGGAAAAAAUUAUAUUUGUUAUUUUAGGUAUGCCUAAUGUUAAUUUAAAAAUUCUUUGAUUUUACUUAUGUUCUUAUUCAUAGAGCAACUGGUGACAAUGCAAAUAUUAGCAAAGAUAAAAUAUUGAGAGCUGCUUAUGUUUGGCCAUGGUUUGGGGGCUGGGGAUACAUAGGCCUAAGAGAUGCCCUAUGCC